AUUGAACGCUGGCGGCAGGCCUAACACAUGCAAGUCGAGCGGAUGAAGGGAGCUUGCUCCUGGAUUCAGCGGCGGACGGGUGAGUAAUGCCUAGGAAUCUGCCUGGUAGUGGGGGAUAACGUCCGGAAACGGGCGCUAAUACCGCAUACGUCCUGAGGGAGAAAGUGGGGGAUCUUCGGACCUCACGCUAUCAGAUGAGCCUAGGUCGGAUUAGCUAGUUGGUGGGGUAAAGGCCUACCAAGGCGACGAUCCGUAGCUGGUGUGAGAGGAUGAUCAGUCACACUGGAACUGAGACACGGUCCAGACUCCUACGGGAGGCAGCAGUGGGGAAUAUUGGACAAUGGGCGAAAGCCUGAUCCAGCCAUGCCGCGUGUGUGAAGAAGGUCUUCGGAUUGUAAAGCACUUUAAGUUGGGAGGAAGGGCAGUAAGUUAAUACCUUGCUGUUUUGGCGUUACCAACAGAAUAAGCACCGGCUAACUUCGUG
rnacentral:rRNA from 1 species